rnacentral:rRNA from 1 species
UACGAAGGGGGCGAGCGUUGUUCGGAUUUACUGGGCGUAAAGGGCGCGUAGGCGGCCUUGUCAGUCAGGCGUGAAAGCCCCGGGCUCAACCUGGGAACGGCGCUUGGGACGGCGAGGCUGGAGUUCGGGAGAGGAGAGUGGAUUUCCCAGUGUAGAGGUGAAAUUCGUAGAUAUCGGAAGGAACACCAGUGGCGAAGGCGACUUCCUGGACUAAUACUGACACUGAGGUGCGAAAGCGUGGGGAGCAAACAGG